UUACCCAGGUAUCCCAGCUUAGCCAGACUAAUUCUUGGACCUCUAGCCACCGGCCCCUCAGCGACUCGAGGAGGUAAACCGCGGGUUGUGCCCUUGUUGGCUCCCAAGUUCCUGCACCGCUGAUGCUCCUGGCCCUAAGAGAGCUCUCCUCACUGCCUUCCAGUAUGCCUUGCCUUCGAGAUAAAUCCCCCUUCAAGACUGUUGCCUUCCAGGAAUCGAACUCUCCACGUUGGGGUUGCGAGCCCACCAAUGCAAUUGUUCCACCAACUCGGAUGUGCCCCGGGGGCCUCUUCUCCUCUUUCUUCAUUUCAUACGAGGAUGUUCUCUUUCUUCAUCUCAUACGAGGGUGUUAACUCUCUCCAAAAUAGGAAAUCAAGUGCUAGCUCAUUUAAAGUGCAAUUCCCAAACACGCCUUAGCCCAUUGAAUUGAAACCUUUAGCUCUCUCCCCUCCAAACCAUCCUCAAAUUAUGUCCAGAUCCGUGAAUGAACCCUAACCCCCAAAUCGAUUUCGCUCCACAAUCGAAGGAGAAAAUCAUUUGUUAGAAGUGAAGGAGCUUCAUCGAGCCAAACAUGAUGAAACUUUUCAGAUCAUGCUUCCCCUGAUGGCUGCAAUUUGAAACUGAUUGUAUGAAUAAUGGACCAGCAGCUUCCAUGCCUAUGACAAACCAGAUGCAUCAGUUCUGGAAAACGGCUCUACUCAUGCCAACGGAAAUACUGUUUACGAUGCUCAACAUCCCUGCGGGUAUCAAAUGUGCUUACUUUUCUCUGGACUGCUCUUCUCUGUACUUUGGGUUAAGGUGAAAUUUCUUGUUAAUCACCGAAAUCCAUUUCGUUCCAAAAUGGUCACUUUGCUUUCUAAAACGUUUGAGUUAUGUCACCUGCUUAGUUAUUCUGCCGUACAUUAAGGUUGAAGGUGGUGAUGGCAAUGGCGUUUAUGCUUCAACAGAAAGUAAUGGUGCUAACCUGGGGGUGGUUCUGAAUUGCACAAAUUUAAACAGCUGGUCUAAAAAUUAGAGGAGAAAAAUGCUCUAUCAGAUUUCCCAUUAAGACAUGCACAUAAUUGUUUUAAUAAUGGAUGGCCAACUAACGAGAUGACUAAAGUGAAACGAUUGAGGAGGUAAAUUGACCAUUUUGGAAGAAGAUCAAGUUCAGGCAACAUGAAAUUUUGCCCUAUGUACACUGACAAUCAGUAUAUUUUACCCUGUUCUUAUGUUUUCCGAUUGAGUGGGUUAUACUUGAUGUCAGUGACCAUCAGUUUUAUUGCAAGAGCUGAUCAGACAUGGAUCAAAUUGCAGUUCAUACUGUCACACUUGUGAUGUAUUUCAGCUUGCACAUGCCUCCUUUAGGCUUCAUUGCAUUCAAAGUAAUCUGGUCCUUCAUGAUAACACCCUGGAAGUUAAUGAUAAAUUGGGCCCUAAUCUUCUCGGGGAACCUCCAAAUAUUAGUGUAACUCUACCUGAGAUGGGUCCCGAGGAUGAUGAAGAAAGAGCCUCUGGUGACCUUCCCGCCGUGAAGAUAUAUGAUGAUGAUAUAAACAUGAGGUUUCUUGUCUGUGGAGUGGCAAGUUCGUUGGUAACUGAACCGACACCUUUUAGUUUGUCUUUUUUGUGCUCUUCUCCAUAAGUAUUUUUUUAACAAUUCAAUGUACCCUUGGAUAUUCUGCCAUGCGAUGACUUCCUUUUCAGGAUGCUUUCUUAUUGGGGUCUCUGGAGGAUGGCCUCAAUGCACUAUUGGUUGGUUUGUGUGUGUGUUUUACCUUCUUCGACUAUGCCAUGUGAUCUUUCGUAGCUUUCUUGAUUGACUUCUGACGAAAGCUACAGGUACAAAUUCAUCAACCCACAUGUCAAACUGCCGAAAUUUGACAUCAAUUCGCCGGAGAGUUUGAGUUUGAUAUUCCUUUUUACUGGUGCGGAAAAGGAAUAACCAUGAGUAAUGUUCAUAAUAGCAUGGAGACUGUAAAUGCUGCGGUAAAUGCCAUAAUUACUUCUGAAUCCAGAGUUCAACCAUCUACACGAUAGGUAUAUAUAGAUAUAUUUUUGGAUGUGUUUGUGUGUAGAGGUUUUCAUUUUGCUUCGCUUAUAGCCUGUUUUUGGAUAUGGAAAUGUUGCUCGAUGUGAUCUUUCUCGAUUUGUACGAGUCUUAUUUUUUUUUACUGUUAAAAUGAAAUUGAUGUGGUUUCCUUGUUGAUUUUCUUAUUUGGGUUGUUGAAUUUGAAGCUUCCUUUUUUACUAUUUUUAUUUUUAUCAAAGGAAGAGGGGGAAAAAAAGAUUGGAGCUUUGAUUUUUCAAUAUAAUACAUUAUGUUGCGGGAGAACUUUGGUAAAAUUCAGACGACAUUAUAAAAAUUCAAGAGAUACUGUUUUGUAAACUAAGUUCAAUUUUUUCAAGCUAAAUUUGACCUUGAAUUGAGAUUUGAAAGAAUGAACUUUUGAAUUAUAUGCAUAAUUAAGCUUGGACAGAAGUUUUUUGUUUCAGAGAAAACAAUUUUUCUUAGUUAACUGUAUUUGUAGAAUUUUCAAUUGAAGUGCAUAUAGAAAUUGAGUCAAUGCAGGUAAUCCUUCUUCAACAAUUUCAUCAUCAAAGCCAGUUCUUUUCCUUUAGAUUUCACCUUUGGUUGAGAAUAAGCUGUGGUUUCAAAUCUGUUUUGUCAUUUAACUCUGACUAAUAACUCUUAAGCUUGGAUAGAAUAAAUUACAAAUGAUUUAUAGCAUGGUUGGGAAGUGUGUAUAUUUUUUAAAUUAUAAAUAUAUAGAAUAAGUGUUGGAUAAGAAGGUAGUACUUGUGGGUUCUAGAAAAUAUGUGGAUAUAAAGUAGUUUAGUGUUUAUAAAAAUGAGUCAAACAUAGGCUUAAAAUAGGGAUGUUAAUAGGCUGAAACUAGCUCAUCUAGGCCCACCGCAUAAGCUGGCUCGUGCUUACUAUGGGGUGAGCCAAACACGAGUCAGCUCAUUUUAAAAUUUUAUGGCCGCCUAGCUCCUUCAAAUGUGCUUACUUUUCUAUAGUGCUAGCUUGAAAUCUACAUGAGAAUAUGUUCUUGAUGGUUUUGCAUUCAUGCCUGUGAUUAUAAUUCUGGUGAAAGUUUUAGAGGAAAGAGAGUUGUAGUUGUGGGAUGUGGAAAUUCAGGCAUGGAAGUGUCUCUCGAUCUUUGCAACCAUGAUGCAAAACCUUCAAUGGUUGUUCGGAGCUCGGUGAGUAAUUUACACAACACAUAACAUGCACUUUCAUUCAUCCAUUUUCUUUCAAGAAAAUUGAGUUCCAAUAUUUAGAUUCUAAUGUGGUUUAUGGGUUUUCGUUUUCAGGUUCAUGUAUUGCCAAUGGUUCUUACUUAUUUUUCUUUUCGAUUAUAAUUGGUACAAAUGUCUAAAAUGUGGUAUCUAUCUUUAUCUCCCUUUUUUUUAUAGGUCAGGACCGAUAUUUAAGACAAAGCUCAUGUCGAAGAUUGUUGAAAAGAAAAUUAAGGAAGCCUAGGGUGUUUUCACUCACUACUUAGUGGUUUUUUUUUUUUUUUUUUUUUUUUUUUUUUUGUUUUUUUGAGAAAAUGUAUUGGAUUUUUAGGUGUUUUAGAAUUUUGGAUCUGGAUUUUGUACGAAUAUUAUUACAUUUUAGAGUUCAAUUAAUAAUGAUUAUUGGAGUUAUUUGAUAUA